GACGAACGCUGGCGGCGUGCUUAACACAUGCAAGUCGAACGAUGAAGAAAAGAAUUGAAGCUUCGGCAGAAAUUCAUUUCGGAUUAGUGGCAGACGGGUGAGUAACGCGUGAGCAACCUACCUCUUACAAAGGUAUAGCCACGGGAAACCGGGAUUAAUACCAUAUAACAUUGCGACGAAGCAUUUCGAUGCAAUCAAAGCUACGGCGGUAAGAGAUGGGCUCGCGUCCCAUUAACCAGAUGGUGAGGUAACGGCUCACCAUAGUAACGAUGGGUAACCGGCCUGAGAGGGUGAACGGUCACACUGGAACUGAGACACGGUCCAGACUCCUACGGGAGGCAGCAGUGGGGAAUAUUGCACAAUGGAGGGAACUCUGAUGCAGCGACGCCGCGUGAGUGAUGAAGGAAUUCGUUUCGUAAAACUCUGUUCUAUGGGAAGAAAAGGACUGUACCAUAGGAGAAAGCUCCGGCUAAAUACGUG
rnacentral:rRNA from 1 species